AUCAGGGCUGCCCCGGCCGUCGGAGCACCGCUCAUCCUCUUAGAAGCCGCUGGAAAGAAUCGGAUCACAGUCGUGUGAGGAUCCGCUCAGCUCGGCUUCUCCCCGCCGCGCCCGAGGACGGUUUUUAUAAGUUGGGUGCGGAGUGGGCGGAGGAGUCUUGGAGGCGGGGUGCGGGGAGUGCUGGGGGCAGGGCCUGUGGCCGGGGGUGGGGUCCUGUCCUCUGGAGGCCUGGUAGUCUGCGGGCUGGGGGAUGCCCUGGGGAUGCCAAACUGUGGCUCUCCCGCCCCCGCUCCAGGCUCAGGCAGGCCUUCCUCUACGAACCGUGGGAGACGUGACUCUUCUUUCCCCCACGGUGCCCGCCUCUAGUGUGAAAUUGCAAGCCCCCUAUUCCGCCCCCGCCUUACCCAGUGGCGGAGAGGGCGCACGCUUGAGGUCAAGACUUCCAGACCAGCCCGGCCAACAUCGUGAAACCCAGUCUCUACUAAAAAUACAAAAAAAAAUUAGCCGGGCUUGGUAGUGCGCGCCUGUAGUCCCAGCUACUCGGGAGGCUGAGGCAGUAGAAUCGCUUGAACCCGGGAGGUGGAGGUUGCAGUGCGCCGAGAUGGCGCCAUUGCGCUCCAGCCUGGGCGACAGAGCCAGAGUACGUCUCAAAAUGAAAGAAGAGAAAAGAAAAGAAAAGAAAGAAAAGAGAGAGAAAGAAGGAAAGAAGGAAGGAAGGACGGAAAAAGAAAAGAGAGAGAGGUAGGGAGGGAGGGAAGAAGGAGAGAGAGAGAGAAAAGAGAGAGAGAAAGGAAAGAGAGAAAGAGGAAGGAAGGAAGGAGGGAAAGAAAGGAAGAAGGAAAGAAAGGAAGGAAAAGAAAAAGAGCUGAGUUCAGCGGAGCCCGGAACUCACCAAAAGUCCUUGCCUUGCGGAGGCUUCGUGUGACCUCCAUCCCAAGACCAGGAGAGACUUUUCUGGGCUCGCAUGUUCCUUCCCGUGAAAGGGUUCGUCAUCGCAGCUGUGUUUAUGAGAUUCUUUGACUUCCAUUUCUCCCCUGAGCCCGAAAUUAUGAGUGCCUUAGCGGCAGGACUUGGAUCAGGGCCUCACCCCCAUAGCCUACCCUCUACCGCCAGGGUCUUUAAUGUCCUGAGCUUUGCCUAUAAUAAAGCAGGAACUUAGAGAACAGAAAGAGGAGACACAAGGAAGGGAGGAACCAGGGCGGUCGCCCAUGACUGUGGUCGC
rnacentral:lncRNA from 10 species